AAAUCAUUUCUGCAAGCAACUGUCUGUGGACGGGAUGGCCCCCUUUACUCCCCACCCCCAACAUUUCCAACACAGUGAAAUGAGUUAGAAGGAGCUGUAAAAACUUCAAAGAACAGUCAGUGCCGUAAAAGGCCAAUCGAGCGGUGUAGACAGAUGGUCCCUUGCAGACGGAGCACUGGACCCUUCCAGGAGCUCCGCGUGAGAUGGUGGCGUGGAAACGCUGGAGACAAGCACUCUUCAGCUCCUCUGAUGUGUGCAUUUCUGUUGGAAGCAACCAGGCUGUGUGCCAAUGGAGAUGAGCCUACACCUGGCUGAGAGGGCCUGUAGCAGCAUGACUUGUGCACUGCUACAUGAUUAAUCUUCCAUGUUAGAAUUUCUAAAGAAAUUUGGAAGAAGAGGCACAUUCUGUGUGGAGCAAAGGAGGUUUUUGGGAUGAUGGAGCUAGAGGUCAACAUAUGGAGUAGCCUGGAAUCCAUCCCUGCGUGGAGCAGAAGACGGGAACAACCCUAGAAGGUGGAAGAAUCACUUAGGCAGACAGAGGAAAGGGCACCUGAGUCAAGCCGGGGAGAAGGAUCCACAGGUUCAAACCAAAGCAGAAAAAGUCCUCUUUGAAGCAACAGCUUUUCUCUCCAGCCUCAUUUCCUCCCUGUUUGCCCCAACUCCCAGGUCCCUGUGCUUCUGCCAGAUCAGACACUUUCUUCUUGGUACACACCAUGUCCUUUCAGCAUUUUAAGACUUCUGCACAUUCUUUUUCCUGGGCCUCCAUGGUCUUCCUCAUUCUCUACUUGCCAAGCACCCUUUGAGAUAUGAUGACUGGAGCUCCAGCAGCCAUCUUGAGAUAAUGAGGAAGAGGAUCACACCCUAGGGAUGGUCAAGUGAAAGCCAAAAGGAACCUGGGACCCAGAUGAUUGCCAACCUCUGGCUCUCUUUUA